AUUAUUUAUUCAUUGUAGAACUGUAACACUUACAAUCUGUUCAGUUUUCAUGCGGAUUUAAUUCCGCUGAUUUCUAAUUAAUACUCUCAUUAGUGUAUACAGUAUAGAGUAAUAGUGCGAAACAUCCUCUCGCGUUUGAGUUAGAAAAACUUAUUAUAAAAUUAUUUAUUAAAAAAGAUAGAAUCGGCCCCCUUCGGCCGUGCUCUUGACCGUUGGCGAUGUCUCCGCCCGCAUUUUCGUGCGGCAGCAUUGUGUCGUUGCACGACAGAAGGUCGACGUUUCUUUCUCCAUCUCUUUCUUUCUCUUUCUCUUCGUAUACCGGGUGACCCAUCGGGGCCGCCGGCACCGUUACGUGCGCGCACAGCGACAACGUUCAAGAUAGAAAUUAUCUAGAGGUUUUGUUGCCGUUUUCUACGUAUCGCAUGUGGUGUAUUUAUUUACCGCUUCGACUAACACGGCUGUGUUGGUUCAGAUGAUACCGAUACGAACAAUGCCAACAUGUCGGAAAAACUGGCUUUUUCUCUAUUCAGUGAUCUUACUCACUGUCUCAAGAAUAAAAAAAAACUUUAGUAGUCAUCGACAAGCGAGUUUAAAAUGCGAACAAACAUGAAGCACACUGUUUGUUCAAUAGAAAUUGCAGCAAUGUUUGCUAAUAUAAUAAAAGCAAUUAGCAUACAAAUACGCUUACGUGGAAUUACCGUGUUAUGUAUCGUAACAGUUAUCUACAAUGACGAGUGACGAGAGACAUGAUUAAUUCCAAUGAAAAUUACGGAGGAUUGGCGUAAAACGUUUCACGUUACAUUUGAUUGUGAGAGGAACAGUAACUGUACCAACAUCUGCCUUGAGCGACGCAGGUGCAAGAUAUCUGGUAGCCUUAGCAGGGUUCCCUCAGAAGGGAGCGGAUACUAACUUCCUACGGAGAAACGAAAUUCAUCAUUGAGAUCACUCUGAAAAAGGAACUUGUAAUAAUAACAAGAACAUCACACACCUUUUCUUCCAAUAAUAGAAAUUGAUUUAAAUAUGAAUAAGUCUCAAGAUUCUUUCUCAUUACAUGAAAAGAGACACUGCCGGCGGAUUCAUUUAACACUACGACGCAUUUAAAAAUGAGUUAGCAUUGUGGGCUCCGUGCCCAGUGUUACUCAUCCAGUCUUAAUGAUAUUUUACAAUGCGUGACUUAUGUAGCCAGGCAUCGGAAUACGGGGACAAAGCGAAACGAAAACAACAGUCAACCGUUUCUUUGCGGUAUUACUGCCUUCCUGCUGCUAUUCUCUUUUUUUUCUCCCUUUCCUUCUCUUUCUCUCUCUCCCUCUCUUUCUCUUGCAAUGUCGUAACUAGACAAACUUUUCUAUUGAUGUCCGAUACGUGGUUAUCAAAAUGCAUUCAGAAGCUGAACGCAGAGCUUGGCGCAUUUCGUGCGGCGCACGGUUAAAAUGCAAAUUAUUUCGCCAUCUAGAAAGCAAAUCACCUCCGUCUGACGACCGGCGUUUCCGCGCACGGUUCUUUUUUUCGAUAAAUUGCUACCCUCGCCUAUACCGGGUAGCUCAAAUGCGCGCUCGUUAAUGCUUAGCUGCAUCGUUUGCUGCCACAAGAUAUGCGCAUCCGCGGAUCCUUUACAUAAAGUUCGGUUCGUUCCGAGAUCGCUAUCGUGUUAUCCGGCAUCAAGCGUAUCGGGUGAUCGACGAGGUUCAGUUUCAAAAAGGUAGAAUCCAGCAGAUGUUCUUGAUCUUGAAAUUUCAUUGACUUUAAUUGAAAAUAAUCUUUUAUAUAUGAAUAUUUUGAGAAUAUUUCAACGCAAAUAUGUAAAAUGUGCUGGAUUUAUGUGGAUUAACUUUAUUUUAUAUUAUAUUGUACCUAAUCACCUAACGUUGAGACAUGAUAAUGGAGUUUCACCUUAUCAGAGAAAACUUUCGUUCUUCAAAAAAAAAACGCUUGUUUAACACGAUCGCGCGUGCGGCAGAGCGCGCGCGUUCCAUGUAGACGCACACGUUCACAGAUUAUUUGAGAAAAGUGAUAAGACACGUAAUGACGACAGCGAGGGAACGGCACGGAAUGACUCGCGGCAGAUAUAGCUGCCGUGACAUGACACGCUAUCAAGUCCUGUCGGAAUGGCAGGUUCGAGCUUGCCUGCCUGCAAGCAUCGUACGCACCGGCUGCUCCUCUCUCAAUGUAUCUUUCGCCGUCAUGUGCAUCGGGUAGCUCCAGGAAUUCCAAAGUUUUAAUCGUGCUUGAUUCAUUAAUUCAAUUCGAUUCGAUGAUAUUCCGAGUAGGUAGAUAGUCGCUAUAUAGUGUUAGAUUUCGCCGUUAGAUUCAAUGUAUUAUACUACGUGCUACAUUUUAGAGAACAGCUGUACAUUUAAGGAUACGGACACGAGUCGUGCGCAGGACGAGGAGAGUGGGCGUUCGUGAUAUGUGAAAAGCCUAUCUGCGACGGCCGGCGACCUUUUCGACACUCAACGAAAUGAUACUGUACAAUAUGAUAUACUAUGUACCACGUCAUCAUCAUAAUAAUAACAAUAUCCACAUGUC